rnacentral:rRNA from 1 species
UUCCGGUUGAUCCUGCCGGACCCGACUGCUAUUUGGGUGAGGAUAAGCCAUGCGAGUUGAAUGGGAUACCCAAAGUUCCCAUGGCAAACUGCUCAGUAACACAUGAUCAACUUACCCUAUAGAGGAAAAUAACCUCGGGAAACUGAGGAUAAUAUUCCAUAGUUGAAUCGGCUUGGAAAAGUUUUUCAAUAAAAGGGAUAAGGAAAAUGGUUCUUAUCUGCUAUAGGAUAGGAUCGUGUUCGAUUAUGGUUGUUGGUGAGGUAAAGGCUCACCAAGCCGAUAAUCGAUAGGGGCCGUGAGAGCGGGAGCCCCGAGAUGGGUACUGAGACAACGACCCAGGCCUUACGAGGCGCAGCAGGCGCGAAACCUCCGCAAUACACGAAAGUGUGACGGGGUUACCCAAAGUGUUCUAUUUAGAACUGUGGUAGGUGAGUAAUGUCCCCUACUAGAAAGGAGAGGGCAAGGCUGGUGCCAGCCGCCGCGGUAAAACCAGCUCUUCAAGUGGUCGGGAUAAUUAUUGGGCUUAAAGUGUCCGUAGCCGGUUUAGUAAGUUCCUGGUAAAAUCGGGUAGCUUAACUAUCUAUAUGCUAGGAAUACUGCUAUACUAGAGGGCGGGAGAGGUCUGAGGUACUACAGGGGUAGGGGUGAAAUCUUAUAAUCCUUGUAGGACCACCAGUGGCGAAGGCGUCAGACUGGAACGCGCCUGACGGUGAGGGACGAAAGCCAGGGGAGCGAACCGGAUUAGAUACCCGGGUAGUCCUGGCCGUAAACGAUGCAUACUAUGUGAUGGCACGGCCAUGAGCCGUGUCAGUGCCGUAGGGAAACCGUUAAGUGUGCCGCCUGGGAAGUACGUCGCAAGGCUAAAACUUAAAAGGAAUUGGCGGGGGAGCACCACAAGGGGUGAAGCCCUGCGGUUCAAUUGGAGUCAACGCCGGGA